UACGUAGGGCGCAAUCGUUGUCCGGAAUUAUUGGGCGUAAAGAGCUCGUAGGCGGCUUGUCACGUCGGGUGUGAAAGCUCGGGGCUUAACCCCGGGUCUGCAUUCGAUACGGGCUGGCUGGAGUGUGGUAGGGGAGAUCGGAAUUCCUGGUGUAGCGGUGAAAUGCGCAGAUAUCAGGAGGAACACCGGUGGCGAAGGCGGAUCUCUGGGCCAUUACUGACGCUGAGGAGCGGAAGCGUGGGGAGCGAACAGG
rnacentral:rRNA from 1 species